rnacentral:rRNA from 1 species
CCUACGGGCGGCAGCAGUGAGGAAUAUUGGUCAAUGGGCGCGAGCCUGAACCAGCCAAGUCGCGUGAAGGAUGACUGCCCUAAGGGUUGUAAACUUCUUUUAUAAAGGAAUAAAGUGAGGCACGUGUGUCUUUUUGUAUGUACUUUAUGAAUAAGGAUCGGCUAACUCCGUGCCAGCAGCCGCGGUAAUACGGAGGAUCCGAGCGUUAUCCGGAUUUAUUGGGUUUAAAGGGUGCGUAGAUGGGAAGUUAAGUCCGUUGUUAAAGUUUGCGGCUCAACCGUAUAAUUGCAAUUGAUACUGGUAGUCUUGAGUACAGGUGAGGUAGGCGGAAUGCGUGGUGUAGCGGUGAAAUGCUUAGAUAUCACGAAGAACUCCGAUUGCGAAGGCAGCAUACUAAACGGCCACUGACAUUGAUGCACGAAAGUGUGGGUAUCAAACAGGAUUAGAUACCCCUGUAGUC